rnacentral:misc_RNA from 1 species
GAUGAAGAACGUAGCGAAAUGCGAUAAGUAAUGUGAAUUGCAGAAUUCAGUGAAUCAUCGAAUCUUUGAACGCACCUUGCGCUCCUUGGUAUUCCGAGGAACAUGCCUGUUUGAGUGUCAUGAAAUUCUCAACCUUUUCAGCUUUCUUUGUUGAUCAGGCUUGGAUGUGGGAGUAUGCGGGCUUCUCAGAAGUCGGCUCUCCUGAAAUGCAUUAGCGGGACCUUUGUUGCCUGGCUUUGGUGUGAUAAUUAUCUACGCCAUUGUAGUCAAGCAGCUUAAAAUGAGGUUUCAGCUUCUAACCGUCUCCCCUGAGACAACUUUUUGACAAUUUGACCUCAAAUCAGGUAGGACUACCCGCUGAACUUAAGCAUAUCAAUAAGCGGAGGA